UUGAACGCUGGCGGCAGGCCUCACACAUGCAAGUCGAGCGGAUGAAGGGAGCUUGCUCCUGGAUUCAGCGGCGGACGGGUGAGUAAUGCCUAGGAAUCUGCCUGGUAGUGGGGGAUAACGUCCGGAAACGGGCGCUAAUACCGCAUACGUCCUGAGGGAGAAAGUGGGGGAUCUUCGGACCUCACGCUAUCAGAUGAGCCUAGGUCGGAUUAGCUAGUUGGUGGGGUAAAGGCCUACCAAGGCGACGAUCCGUAACUGGUCUGAGACGAUGAUCAGUCACACUGGAACUGAGACACGGUCCAGACUCCUACGGGAGGCAGCAGUGGGGAAUAUUGGACAAUGGGCGAAAGCCUGAUCCAGCCAUGCCGCGUGUGUGAAGAAGGUCUUCGGAUUGUAAAGCACUUUAAGUUGGGAGGAAGGGCAGUAAGUUAAUACCUUGCUGUUUUGACGUUACCAACAGAAUAAGCACCGGCUAACUUCGUG
rnacentral:rRNA from 1 species